rnacentral:rRNA from 1 species
UACGUAGGGGCUAGCGUUAUCCGGAAUUACUGGGCGUAAAGGGUGCGUAGGUGGUUUCUUAAGUCAGAGGUGAAAGGCUACGGCUCAACCGUAGUAAGCCUUUGAAACUGGGAAACUUGAGUGCAGGAGAGGAGAGUGGAAUUCCUAGUGUAGCGGUGAAAUGCAUAGAUAUUAGGAGGAACACCAGUUGCGAAGGCGGCUCUCUGGACUGUAACUGACACUGAGGCACGAAAGCGUGGGGAGCAAACAGGAUUAGAUACCCCCGUAGUCCCUGAGCGGG